GGCGGGGCGGAGGCUACCAUGCAGUCGAACGGUAGCACAGAGAGCUUGCUCUCGGGUGACGAGUGGCGGACGGGUGAGUAAUGUCUGGGAAACUGCCUGAUGGAGGGGGAUAACUACUGGAAACGGUAGCUAAUACCGCAUAACGUCGCAAGACCAAAGAGGGGGACCUUCGGGCCUCUUGCCAUCAGAUGUGCCCAGAUGGGAUUAGCUAGUAGGUGGGGUAACGGCUCACCUAGGCGACGAUCCCUAGCUGGUCUGAGAGGAUGACCAGCCACACUGGAACUGAGACACGGUCCAGACUCCUACGGGAGGCAGCAGUGGGGAAUAUUGCACAAUGGGCGCAAGCCUGAUGCAGCCAUGCCGCGUGUAUGAAGAAGGCCUUCGGGUUGUAAAGUACUUUCAGCGGGGAGGAAGGUGUUGUGGUUAAUAACCACAGCAAUUGACGUUACCCGCAGAAGAAGCACCGGCUAACUCCGUGCCAGCAGCCGCGGUAAUACGGAGGGUGCAAGCGUUAAUCGGAAUUACUGGGCGUAAAGCGCACGCAGGCGGUCUGUCAAGUCGGAUGUGAAAUCCCCGGGCUCAACCUGGGAACUGCAUUCG
rnacentral:rRNA from 1 species